GUGGGGAAUAUUCCGCAAUGGACGAAAGUCUGACGGAGCAACGCCGCGUGAGUGAUGAAGGUUUUCGGACUGUAAAGCUCUGUUGUUUAGGACGAAAGUGCCUGUUGCAAACAGUUACAGGUAUUGACGGUACUAAACGAGGAAGCCACGGCUAACUACGAGCCAGCAGCCGCGGUAAUACGUAGGUGGCAAGCGUUGUCCGGAAUUAUUGGGCGUAAAGAGCAUGUAGGCGGGAAUCUAAGUCUGUUGUGAAAAUGCGGGGCUCAACCCCGUAUUGCGAUGGAAACUGGGUUUCUUGAGUGCAGGAGAGGAAAGGGGAAUUCCCAGUGUAGCGGUGAAAUGCGUAGAUAUUGGGAGGAACACCAGUGGCGAAGGCGCCUUUCUGGACUGUGUCUGACGCUGAGAUGCGAAAGCCAGGGUAGCGAACGGGAUUAGAUACCCUAGUAGUCC
rnacentral:rRNA from 1 species